rnacentral:rRNA from 1 species
UACGAAGGGGGCUAGCGUUGCUCGGAAUCACUGGGCGUAAAGGGCGCGUAGGCGGCCAAGUAAGUUGGGGGUGAAAGCCCGUGGCUCAACCACGGAAUUGCCUUCGAUACUGCUUGGCUUGAGACCGGAAGAGGUGAGUGGAACUGCGAGUGUAGAGGUGAAAUUCGUAGAUAUUCGCAAGAACACCAGUGGCGAAGGCGGCUCACUGGCCCGGUACUGACGCUGAGGUGCGAAAGCGUGGGGAGCAAACAGG